UUGAUUAAGCCUUCUGUGGCUCGAGCGGACGUUUACAUACGUCCAUAAUAAUAAAACUGUCGUAGGUACUUUUCCGCCACAACAAAUACAAAAAACGUAAACAAACAAUUCUAAGUAAAAAUGCAGAGUGCUUCGGAUGUGAUCUCGUCGUUAUUUUGGUUUAAAGAUGAGGACAACGAUGAACAAAAACCUGAUAUCAUAGAACAAUUUGUGCAGUACGUUGAAGAUUUUAGUUCUCAAUACGGAAGUGAAAUCAGUGUAUCAUAUACCGCUUUCAAUCUUCGCGGUCCACCGUCGAACUUUCCAGAUUAUGGCGACUAUCCUCAAGCUUUUGUGAUGAGAACUUACGGUACCUGGUGGGAAGAAGCACCAUCAGCUCAGGAAGACUACAUGCCACAAAACAAUAGGAGCAUUCCAAGCCAGGAUUUUGUUGAAGUAUCGUUCGAGAAAGCUGUAUACCCGGUCGAGGUGUCCGUAUUUGAGACAUACAAUCCCGGUGCACUGGUUCGCAUCUGGGCCCAGGGUCCGUCCAUGUGGAUGCUGCUAUGGGAAGGUGAACCGGAGUAUGCUGGGGAUAGACCGAGGAUUUUCAGUCCUCCGAUAAGACAGAUUGAUGUAUUAACAAGAGUGCUAAGACUGGAGUUCAACCACAAACUGCUGCCAUACUACACGGAACUCGAUGCCGUAUUGUUGAAAGGAAGGGAGCCUUGCAAGUUCCAAGUUAAGAACAAACUCAUGUGUCCGUCGCUGCUGCAUAAGAUAAAUGGGCCUGUCAUGGAGAAGGGUCAGCUGUUGCAUAAAAUAAUGGCGUCCAACCUGCACGAGUCGGUAAUGCCACCCGCGGCGCUAGGGGGCAAGAUGCAGAUCGACACGGGGCCGCCGCCGGGAGACUUUGAACGGCUACCGGACGAGACGAUCCUCUGCGUGAUGAAGUACCUAGACAUGCAAUCGCUGUGCCGCUGCGCGCAGGUCAACAGACAUUUCAACAGGCUCGCCUCUGACGCCAUCCUGUAUCGUAGCAUUGACCUUAGGCCGUAUUGGCAUUGCGUGCAAUCCCAAGUACUGGUGACUCUUUCAAUGCGAUGCAAAUUCCUUCAGAAACUGGACCUGUCGUGGUGUGGAAGCCAUCUUAUGAUACUUCCCAACUACGUUGUAAAUUUCCUCAAAGACAAUGGCGCCGAGUUAACACACUUAAGGAUGAAUUGCUGCAAAUUCGUUAACAACGCCGUGCUAAGAGCCAUCGUCGACAGCUCUAUCUACCUUCAAGAGUUAUGCCUCCGUUCCGUAGUCGGCUGCUCAGACUGGCAGUGCCUCUCUUCGCUAACAAAACUCAAACGACUAGACCUGUACAGGACAGAUAUAACGACGACCGCCGCUGUGGCUAUAGUCGUGUCCAAUCCUGAACUGCAACACAUCAAUGUUGGCUCAUGCAAGAUGAUAUCAGCCAUGGACGAAGUAGCCAUAGCCCUUGGCAUGAACUGUCCCGACUUGGUCUCUGCGGACUUUUGGAAGUCCUACUCGCUGACCCCCACCGGCAUCAGGGCGCUCGGCAACUGCAGGAAGCUGCAGGAGCUUGACGUCGGAUGGUGUCUCCAAGCCGGCGGUUCCGGCGAAUGGCUAGCCUGGCUGAACGGCGGCGAGCUGCGCAAGCUAUUCCUGGGCGCUCUACGCGGAGUGUGUGACCGAGACCUUAGGAAUCUGCUGCCGAGAGUCCGCAAGCUGACGCAGCUGGACUUGCUGGGUGUUAGGGCUGUUACACCUGAUAUAUGUUGCGCGAUCUUAGCAGAAUGCCACGAGCUGAAGCUGCUGGAUGUCAGUUUCUGCGAUCAAAUACAAGAGUCUCAGGUACUAGAAUGGCGUGAGCGCUACCCCCACGUUAGCAUAAAGCGGUCCUUCCAGUCCGCCACAUUGACUGCUACUCCAAACCCCCUAUUCCUGGCCCCGAGCCUAGAAUGAUGUUGCACCGUAUGCCCGAUGUUCGUGCUCAUGAAGAAAAUGAUGGAAAUCUAUUCAUUUUUAUGAAAGCGAACAAGCCGAAAAUGAUGACAGCUAUGACGGCUGCUAAGCAGCAAACAUGAAUAUGAUGACUUGAUGACAAUGAUUUGAUUGAAUGAUUUUUUUAUACGAAUAAUACCUACAGGGUGAAAUUUUAACCAAGGCUCGGAACCGGUUUUUUCUUCAUACAAAAAAUACCGGUAUUCCGUUCUUUUUCGUUCUUUGGUUUAUUAUUUUAUUUUAAAUGGGACAAUCUAAUAAUUCGAAGUUGUUACCUAAACACCUGAUUCAGUCCUACGUAAAGAGCAUAAAAUAAUUA